UAAUAUCAGUGUGUUGAAGUGUUGUUUCUCUCUCUCUGCUGGAGUUUGUGUUCACUCGAGUGGAAUAGAGGUUUUUGUACGACCAUUUCAUUAGAUUGUAUCACUGUGGUUGACUUUCGGUGGAGGAACUAAACUGGUGGUCUCUGGUCCCACAGUGAAGCCCUCAGUGUCUCUGCUGCCGCCCUCUUCUCUGCAGAUCUCUGGAGACUCAGCCGCACUGCUCUGCCUGCUCAGCUCUUACUCUCCACAGGGGGCGCUGGUGAGCUGGACACUGGACGGGUCAGAGGUCACCGAGGGGGUCGUGACCAGCGCAGAGAGCCAGCGGGACGGCCGCUACAGCCGCAGUAGCGUCCUGACCCUCAGCAAAGCACGCUGGGAAAAGGGAGAGGUGUACGUCUGCAGAGUAACACAUGAUGGAGCUCCUCAUGAGGUCUCGUUCCACAAGAGCUCUGAGUGCUGAUGUUUCUCUCCUGAAGAUGAGCCGUAUCUGAGUGUCCUGUGUCAGGCAGGAUUCACAUGAGUCUAGUGCUGCAGCUGUAGUGAUUUACAACUCAAUACUGAAAGAGAGCUGGCGUGUCAAAGCACUGUGUGAUCUUUCAAUCUGCUGUAACAUUCAAUAAAGCUUCUCAACAAGUUCACUUUGUGUCUGACAACAUCAUUCAACUAACAGAUGAAGAUGCAGGUGCUUUUCACAAACUUGAUGUAAAUGUCAAAUAAAGCUCUUGGGGUUUGAACAUGGUCUCUGGAGACAGAGCUGCUCUAUUCUGAGAGGAUCAGAAUCACUCCACCCUGACAAUGCAAAUGGGCUUUUCAGUCUCACUGUUUGAUUGGUCACAUGAUCUGGACUGGAACACACCAGUUUCACUUCUGCUGAAAAUAUGGUGAUGAAAAUAUAUAUGAAAAUGUCAUGAAAAUCAAAUAGAAAGCAUCACGUCCAGACAGCAGAAGUGACUGAAUUCAGUCUGUUCAGUUUGAUUGACAGGGAUCAUAUAUUACACCUAAAACAUGAUGAUCAUAUUAAACACUGACUCAUUCUCUUCAUAAACACAAGAUUGAUGUUGAUUUAGAUGAUCUAGUGUUAUUAGUGUUUGUCUGUGAUCAGUGAUUGUGUUUAUGAGCAGCUGCAGCUGAAAGUCAUGUUUGUUGGUUGAUGAAGAAGAGCUCUUGAUCAUGUCAUGUUCAGUUCAUAGAGCUAUAAACACAUUCAGAGCAGUGAAGCAUGUGCCGCUCAUGUAAAACACCCUCUGAAUGCAAAAGACAGAAGAGAGAUCAGGACGAUAUACAUUCAGAGUCCAAUAGUUUUACUGACAGGGUUAAAAGAAAGGCUUUACAUCACCAAAGCACAGUAACAGUAAAUAUACAGAGUCAGACAUACACAUUUACACAUCAUUCUCUACAGGACACAACUGAAUGAUUCCUGCUGUAUCAGUAGUCAAUGAUCUUGCUGCUCAACAUUCAAACACUUGUCUAUUGUUUGCUGUAGCAGUGCAGUGUACUUUCAGAAACCCUCCACCUCCCCCAGCUCCACCUGUCCAGAUCUGCUAUGGGGUGAUUCAUGUUUGCUCGUACAGCAGCAGCAUGUUGUGUGUGUUUUGGCAGUGGAAAGUUCUGUACUCUACAGCAGAUAUAAUCAACAGCAGCAGACCAAACACAUUAACAUUGUCAUAUUCAUUACCAUGACAAACUCUCCAAGAAUUGUCAUGUCAGAAAUCUAGUUCGGUCAUGAAACUGAAGAUGGCACAGGCUUCGAUCGGUCCUUUACAUGCAGUCUGUAAGCAAUCACAUCAAUACCAAAUGACUCAGGCUGAUUGGUCUCUGCUGAUCCUGCAGCCAAUGAGAUCCCUUGCUCAACAUUUAAUAGUCUGGUUCAGUGUUUGCUGUAGGCUAGUCCUGCAGCGCUUUAAGAGUUCCUCAGAAAUUCAGACACUUAAGAUAAGUCAACAAUGUUUUACCAUUCCAGAUACAAUGUUACAUGGUCUGAUGUAUCAAUGAAUAUAAAGCCAAACAUACACAUGUUCAAAAUGUUUGCUGUAGUGAUGAGAGAAAUUACGUUUUUGAAAACUUUUUCAUUAUUAUUAUUAAUUAUUGAUGAUUAUUAAUUAUUAAUAAAUCGGUAAACGAGCAUAGGUCCUGCAUGUGUGCUGGGUCGGGACUAUUCUCGUUCAUGUCCGUGGCAUGUACAGCAGAGACAGCCUGUCCAACAGCAUUAAGUUCUUGUUAUCAGAGACGACGUGAACCGACAGGCUUUAGAUGGGAGUCUCAGUCGUAUAAGAGGAAAUGUCAAGCAUCUUAGGGGGGCACUGCAGUAUUGAUCUGGUGAAGGAGGAGGCCAUCGAGUAAAAAAGGUUGAGAAACACUAUACUAGUGUCAUCACAUCGACACAACGUCAAAGUGACUGACAGAUAGGGAACUCAGUUAUGUAACAGACACGCCAUCUAGUGAUGAAGCAUGGAAGUGCAAUUAAAGUGGCGGACUUUCCUGCAGUUAGAUUACAUUGUUGUGGCAAAGUUUUGCAGGGCCAAGCACCACUAACAUUUAUAUAAUAUAAAGAUUAUGUUACAUGCUUAGUACAUCAAAAUAAAUAAAUAAUGUUUCUGAAAGGUCUGAAAAAACAUUGUGUUGUUUGUGAUCCUCCAUCAGCAGCUGCAGUAUCUCUCAGCUGUAUCAGUGCAUCACUGUGACGUCUGACUAACCGAGGUUUUUGUACCACUCUUUAUCACUGUGUGAACACAUCUUUACUGUUGAUAUAGUGGUAACUCUGACAGUAAUAAUCUCCUGUAUCUUCAGUCUGGACUCCACUGAUGGUCAGAGUGAAAUCACUGCCAGAUCCACUGCCACUGAAUCUAGAUGGAGUUCCUGACUGGAGACUGUUGAUCUGAUAAAUCAGGAGUUUAGGAGCUUCUCCAGGUUUCUGUAAGUACC